rnacentral:rRNA from 1 species
UACGUAGGGGGCUAGCGUUGUCCGGAUUUAUUGGGCGUAAAGAGCGUGUAGGCGGCCAUGUAGGUCCGGUGUGAAAACUCGAGGCUCAACCUCGAGACGUCGGUUGAAACCGUACGGCUAGAGUCCGGAAGAGGAGAGUGGAAUUCCCGGUGUAGCGGUGAAAUGCGCAGAUAUCGGGAAGAACACCCGUGGCGAAGGCGGCUCUCUGGGACGGUACUGACGCUGAGACGCGAAAGCGUGGGGAGCGAACAGG